UUUUGGGUGAUCCACUUGUCCAAUGAAGAUUUAUUACAUAGGAUCCACUAUCCGGUGUGAUUAAGUAUGUGCAGUUGGCUUGUCCAGAGAAAGGUGCAGCUUCGAGUGUUCUGGAGGACAGGAGGCGCCAUCCAGGCUUUCUCUCACCUGUGCCGUGAUGUGCCGCUAUUCCUGCUCUUUUCUCCUCCCUUGUGCAGCUGCAGGAUUCCUGGUAUGGUGAGGCCAACAUAAGAUUAUUGCUUCUGAAAAGAGAGCUUGCUCCUCUGUUUCUUGGAGGAGGGGGAACGCCACAGCAUGCAGGACCACAUGAGGAAGCACCAGGAUAGAUGAAGAGGCAGAAGGUGCAGGAAAAGGAGUGUUAAAAGAUCAAGGUGAUUUUCUACAUUGAUUGAGAAGUUUUAAUGGCUUGUAAAUAUUAAAGCUUCAAAACUGCAGUUCAUGAAUUUGCUAGUAUAGCAGUUUCCUGUGUGACAGAAACACAAUGUUUGAUGGACUGCUUAAAUCACUUCACUCACCACUGAACUGAAACUAAGAAGAAACAUCUGUAUGGUACAAAGUGACACAACUCAAACACUGCAGGAAUAGAAAUGAAGAUGAUUCAUCAUAUCCUAACCAAAAAUGACUGGUUCAGUGUGAUUUAAGCUAAUCAACUGGAGUUGUCUCUGGGGAGUGGACACAUUUCAGAGAGGAGGGGC